UACGUAGGGUGCAAGCGUUUGUCCGGAAUUAUUGGGCGUAAAGGGUGCGUAGGUGGCGCCGUAAGUCAGGUGUGAAAUUUCGGAGCUUAACUCCGAAACUGCAUUCGAUACUGCGGUGCUUGAGGACUGGAGAGGAGACUGGAAUUCAUGGUGUAGCAGUGAAAUGCGUAGAGAUCAUGAGGAAGACCAGUGGCGAAGGCGGGUCUCUGGACAGUUCCUGACGCUGAGGAGCGAAAGCGUGGGGAGCAAACAGG
rnacentral:rRNA from 1 species